rnacentral:rRNA from 1 species
AGUGAACGCUGGCGGUAGGCCUAACACAUGCGAGUCGAACGGCAGCACAGUAAGAGCUUGCUCUUACGGGUGGCGAGUGGCGGACGGGUGAGGAAUACAUCGGAAUCUACUUUUUCGUGGGGGAUAACGUAGGGAAACUUACGCUAAUACCGCAUACGACCUACGGGUGAAAGCAGGGGAUCUUCGGACCUUGCGCGAUUGAAUGAGCCGAUGUCGGAUUAGCUAGUUGGCGGGGUAAAGGCCCACCAAGGCGACGAUCCGUAGCUGGUCUGAGAGGAUGAUCAGCCACACUGGAACUGAGACACGGUCCAGACUCCUACGGGAGGCAGCAGUGGGGAAUAUUGGACAAUGGGCGCAAGCCUAAUCCAGCCAUACCGCGUGGGUGAAGAAGGCCUUCGGGUUGUAAAGCCCUUUUGUUGGGAAAGAAAAGCAGCAGGUUAAUACCCCGCUGUUCUGACGGUACCCAAAGAAUAAGCACCGGCUAACUUCGUG